GUCAGGCCUAAUAGUGCAUUUAUAAAUCAGUUUUAGUAUUUCUUCUUACAGUUUGAGCAGUUUUCAGGGUUUUUUAUUCUGCUGUUAUACCUUGUCUCGACGUAACUGAUGGGUGUGCGCUAACGCUUACUCACAUUAUCUUUCAAUUGUCUGUGUCUGUUAUCUCGCGGUUCCUACUACAUGUAUCUACCGUUUUCUUAUUUUCUGUCAUAUAUUUUAGUUUCCCUUACAUAUGAAAAAAAUAGAUGAAGGGUAUGCGCAAAUGAGAUGGAAGCCAAACGACACAAAAUACAAAAUCACUUCAAUAUAUCUU
rnacentral:lncRNA from 1 species